rnacentral:rRNA from 1 species
GACAGAGGCCUCAAGCGUUUAGGCGGAAUCACUGGGCUUAAAGCGUGUGUAGGCGGAUCGUUAAGUGCCUUGUGAAAUCCCACGGCUUAACUGUGGAACGGCUGGGCAUACUGGCGGUCUUGAGCCAUCUAGGGGCGACUGGAACAAACGGUGGAGCGGUGAAAUGCGUAGAUAUCAAGAGGAACACCUGCGGCGAAGGCGGGUUGCUGGGCCGACACUGACGCUGAUGCGCGAAAGCUAGGGGAGCGAACGGG